CACGUAGGGGGCAAGCGUUGUCCGGAUUUAUUGGGCGUAAAGAGCUCGUAGGCGGCUCGGUAAGUCGGGUGUGAAAUUUCGAGGCUCAACCUCGAAACGCCACCCGAUACUGCUGUGGCUAGAGUCCGGUAGGGGAGCGUGGAAUUCCUGGUGUAGCGGUGAAAUGCGCAGAUAUCAGGAGGAACACCAGCGGCGAAGGCGGCGCUCUGGGCCGGUACUGACGCUGAGACGCGAAAGCGUGGGGAGCAAACAGG
rnacentral:rRNA from 1 species